UGACGAUGAUUUGUAUUUUGAAUAUGACAUUUUUUUUUCAUUUAUUGUUGUGCCAAAACCAAUCGCUCAAACUAAAACACCGUACCAGCUUUAGUAUGACGUCAAGAUGACAUAUCAAUGUCAUCUAUCCUUGUUUUGAUUGGCUAAAAUACCAUCUACUUGAAUUCUGAUUGGUUUAUAAUUUUGGCACUUGAAUGGCUUUUAUUAAACUGACAAUCGCCAUGAAAAUGUUAAAUUCGUAAAUACUUACUUUCAAGUUCUAUAAAUUCAGGCGUAUAUUCCUCACGGUUAAACCAACCAAGGACUACCUGAGGGUCAUGCUUGAUGCUAAAGGUUGGAAGACAUAAGAAUAGGCAAAUGUAGCCGGGCUUUCUUACUUUGGUACAGCAGUAUAAGUGUAAUAAGGUUUUUAGAGCAAGAUACUUUGUGUCAAUGAUACUGUAAAUCUGUAAAACAUUUUUUAUCAACCUGAAGAUAAUGAGGAAAGGGGAAAUGAUAGGAGAGUGCUCAAUCAAGUUGUUGCAAUACUGUUAAAGUAUUUAUCAAAAAUAUAGUCCCAGUUUCUUUUUUCUCUCUCUAUUGACUAUUUUUAUAUGCAAUUGAUAAUUAUUUGCUGUUUCCCCUCUGCACCCUGAAUAAAUUAAAAUAGGUUAGGUUUUAAAUUAUACAUUUUCAUUUAGCACUUAUCAGUAAUAUCAAGGAUUUUUUUUUAAUUAGUACUAGUAAGUGGCACCUGAAGUGUAUCUAACUAUAUCAUUCUAUAUUUUGAAUGCUGUUUAAUCCAUUAUUUGUUUCUUUGCAAGGGCAAAGCUGGUCAUGAUGCUUUGCGAAUAAAGUUGUUGUAGUUUGCCGACUCAUCGAGUGGUCGUCUUUCUCCAUGUGGAGUUCGUUUUCCCAAAAUACUACAUUUGGCGACGAGUUUGUUUCUUUUCUACGUGCACGAAGUCGCACGAGAAACCCUAGCUGGUGCGGAAGACGGUUUUGGGGAAGAAUUGAAGUGUUUCCUACCAAAAUUUGAAGUGUAUUUCCCUUCGCGUUGUGAAUCAAGAAUUCAAGAUGGCUUGAAGUAGUUGUGUUCAGGGUAUAGUUAACUCCUCCUUUUAGGGGAAAGCAGUGUAAUGUAUUAAUACCCAUGAUGCUUUGCGGAUAAAGUUGUUGUAGUUUGCUGACUCAUCGAGUGGCCGUCUUUCUCCAUGUGGAGUUCGUUUUCCCAAAAUACUACAGGUCAGAAUGUACCUAGUGCUAGUGUAGUAGUGUACAUGAAUGGAACUUCUAUAAAAGGGUUUUCAUUAGGGCAAGGUACUUAUUUAAUAAAUUAUAUAAAGAUAAUAACAAACUUGUGCUUUUUCAAUAAUAAAUCCAUAAAGAAAACAGUUUUAUAUCAAACCUAAAGCUAAUAGGGAAAGGGGAAAAUGUUAGGAAAGUGCUCAGUCAAGCUCUUAUUGCAUUUUUGUUAUAUAUUUUUUAAAAGUAGAUUCACAUUUUUUCAAAUAGAGUCACAUUUCUCCCUUUCAACUCCCCAUUGACUUUCUGUUUAUUUGUUUAUUUAUUCCUCUCUACCCCAAACAUAACUCAAUGAACAUGGUUUGGUUUGAAAUUAAAGAACUUUAAGUAAUUUAGUAUUUUCCUCCAUUGCAUUCAUUUUUGAGUAGCUAGUAUGGGUGGAUCCAGGGUUUCUAAAAACAACUGGCCAAAGGGUGGGUGCACUAAUAUGUAUUAAUUUCAACACAUUUUGAAUAAUUUUCUGAAUAAUCAGUUGCAGUACAUGGAAACUACAGAAUGGCAUCUAAAUCUUUGAAAUGCUGUUACAUCCUUAAUAUAUUCUUUACAAGGUCAAA